CCUUAAAAAAUCGAAUAGUCUCGUAUAAAGUCGGGAAUAUGGCCCGAAAGUUUCUACCCGAAAACCUUAAAUUUUUGGACUACGAGUGAGCGAAGUUUCAGG
rnacentral:ncRNA from 2 species